rnacentral:rRNA from 1 species
AAAUUGAAGAGUUUGAUCAUGGCUCAGAUUGAACGCUGGCGGCAGGCCUAACACAUGCAAGUCGAACGGUAACAGGAAGCAGCUUGCUGCUUUGCUGACGAGUGGCGGACGGGUGAGUAAUGUCUGGGAAACUGCCCGAUGGAGGGGGAUAACUACUGGAAACGGUAGCUAAUACCGCAUAACGUCGCAAGACCAAAGAGGGGGACCUUCGGGCCUCUUGCCAUCGGAUGUGCCCAGAUGGGAUUAGCUAGUAGGUGGGGUAACGGCUCACCUAGGCGACGAUCCCUAGCUGGUCUGAGAGGAUGACCAGCCACACUGGAACUGAGACACGGUCCAGACUCCUACGGGAGGCAGCAGUGGGGA